rnacentral:rRNA from 1 species
UUGAACGCUGGCGGCAUGCCUUACACAUGCAAGUCGAACGGCAGCACGGGGGCAACCCUGGUGGCGAGUGGCGAACGGGUGAGUAAUACAUCGGAACGUGCCCUGAAGUGGGGGAUAACGUAGCGAAAGUUACGCUAAUACCGCAUAUUCUGUGAGCAGGAAAGCAGGGGAUCGCAAGACCUUGCGCUGAUUGAGCGGCCGAUAUCAGAUUAGCUAGUUGGUGAGGUAAAAGCUCACCAAGGCGACGAUCUGUAGCGGGUCUGAGAGGAUGAUCCGCCACACUGGAACUGAGACACGGUCCAGACUCCUACGGGAGGCAGCAGUGGGGAAUUUUGGACAAUGGGGGCAACCCUGAUCCAGCCAUGCCGCGUGAGUGAAGAAGGCCUUCGGGUUGUAAAGCUCUUUCAGCCGGGAAGAAAAUGUACGGGCUAAUACCCUGUGCAGAUGACGGUACCGGCAUAAGAAGCACCGGCUAACUACGU